UGCAGUCGAGGGGUUAGUUCUUCGGAACUAGAGACCGGCGCACGGGUGCGUAACGCGUAUGCAAUCUACCUUUUACAGAGGGAUAGCCCAGAGAAAUUUGGAUUAAUACCUCAUAGUAUAUAGCCCUGGCAUCAGGAUUAUAUUAAAGUCACAACGGUAAAAGAUGAGCAUGCGUCCCAUUAGCUAGUUGGUAAGGUAACGGCUUACCAAGGCUACGAUGGGUAGGGGUCCUGAGAGGGAGAUCCCCCACACUGGUACUGAGACACGGACCAUACUCCUACGGGAGGCAGCAGUGAGGAAUAUUGGACAAUGGGCGCAUGCCUGAUCCAGCCAUGGCGCGUGCAGGAUGA
rnacentral:rRNA from 1 species